UACGGAGGGGGCUAGCGUUGUUCGGAAUUACUGGGCGUAAAGCGUACGUAGGCGGCUUGCCAAGUCAGAGGUGAAAUCCCACGACUCAAUCGUGGAACUGCCUUUGAGACUGGUUCGCUUGAAGAUGGGAGAGGUCAGUGGAAUUCCGAGUGUAGAGGUGAAAUUCGUAGAUAUUGGGAAGAACACCGGUGGCGAAGGCGGCGACCUGGUCCUUGACUGACGCUGAGGCGCGAAAGCGU
rnacentral:rRNA from 1 species